GCAGUCGAGCGGUAGAGAGGUGCUUGCACCUCUUGAGAGCGGCGGACGGGCGAGUAAAGCCUAGGAAUCUGCCUGGUAGUGGGGGAUAACGCUCGGAAACGGACGCUAAUACCGCAUACGUCCUACGGGAGAAAGCAGGGGACCUUCGGGCCUUGCGCUAUCAGAUGAGCCUAGGUCGGAUUAGCUAGUUGGUGAGGUAAUGGCUCACCAAGGCGACGAUCCGUAACUGGUCUGAGAGGAUGAUCAGUCACACUGGAACUGAGACACGGUCCAGACUCCUACGGGAGGCAGCAGUGGGGAAUAUUGGACAAUGGGCGAAAGCCUGAUCCAGCCAUGCCGCGUGUGUGAAGAAGGUCUUCGGAUUGUAAAGCACUUUAAGUUGGGAGGAAGGGCAUUAACCUAAUACGUUAGUGUUUUGACGUUACCGACAGAGUAAGCACCGGCUAACUCUGUGCCAGCAGCCGCGGUAAUACAGAGGGUGCAAGCGUUAAUCGGAAUUACUGGGCGUAAAGCGCGCGUAGGUGGUUCGUUAAGUUGGAUGUGAAAUCCCCGGGCUCAACCUGGGAACUGCAUUCAAAACUGUCGAGCUAGAGUAUG
rnacentral:rRNA from 1 species